rnacentral:rRNA from 2 species
AGAGUUUGAUCCUGGCUCAGAGUGAACGCUGGCGGCGUGCCUAAUACAUGCAAGUCGAACGAUGAAGCUUCUAGCUUGCUAGAAUGCUGAUUAGUGGCGCACGGGUGAGUAACGCAUAGGUCAUGUGCCUCUUAGUUUGGGAUAGCCAUUGGAAACGAUGAUUAAUACCAGAUACUCCCUACGGGGGAAAGAUUUAUCGCUAAGAGAUCAGCCUAUGUCCUAUCAGCUUGUUGGUAAGGUAAUGGCUUACCAAGGCUAUGACGGGUAUCCGGCCUGAGAGGGUGAACGGACACACUGGAACUGAGACACGGUCCAGACUCCUACGGGAGGCAGCAGUAGGGAAUAUUGCUCAAUGGGGGAAACCCUGAAGCAGCAACGCCGCGUGGAGGAUGAAGGUUUUAGGAUUGUAAACUCCUUUUGUUAGAGAAGAUAAUGACGGUAUCUAACGAAUAAGCACCGGCUAACUCCGUGCCAGCAGCCGCGGUAAUACGGAGGGUGCAAGCGUUACUCGGAAUCACUGGGCGUAAAGAGCGCGUAGGCGGGAUAGUCAGUCAGGUGUGAAAUCCUAUGGCUUAACCAUAGAACUGCAUUUGAAACUACUAUUCUAGAGUGUGGGAGAGGUAGGUGGAAUUCUUGGUGUAGGGGUAAAAUCCGUAGAGAUCAAGAGGAAUACUCAUUGCGAAGGCGACCUGCUGGAACAUUACUGACGCUGAUUGCGCGAAAGCGUGGGGAGCAAACAGGAUUAGAUACCCUGGUAGUCCACGCCCUAAACGAUGGAUGCUAGUUGUUGGAGGGCUUAGUCUCUCCAGUAAUGCAGCUAACGCAUUAAGCAUCCCGCCUGGGGAGUACGGUCGCAAGAUUAAAACUCAAAGGAAUAGACGGGGACCCGCACAAGCGGUGGAGCAUGUGGUUUAAUUCGAAGAUACACGAAGAACCUUACCUAGGCUUGACAUUGAGAGAAUCCGCUAGAAAUAGUGGAGUGUCUAGCUUGCUAGACCUUGAAAACAGGUGCUGCACGGCUGUCGUCAGCUCGUGUCGUGAGAUGUUGGGUUAAGUCCCGCAACGAGCGCAACCCCCUUUCUUAGUUGCUAACAGGUCAUGCUGAGAACUCUAAGGAUACUGCCUCCGUAAGGAGGAGGAAGGUGGGGACGACGUCAAGUCAUCAUGGCCCUUACGCCUAGGGCUACACACGUGCUACAAUGGGGUGCACAAAGAGAAGCAAUACUGCGAAGUGGAGCCAAUCUUCAAAACGCCUCUCAGUUCGGAUUGUAGGCUGCAACUCGCCUGCAUGAAGCUGGAAUCGCUAGUAAUCGCAAAUCAGCCAUGUUGCGGUGAAUACGUUCCCGGGUCUUGUACUCACCGCCCGUCACACCAUGGGAGUUGUGUUUGCCUUAAGUCAGGAUGCUAAAUUGGCUACUGCCCACGGCACACACAGCGACUGGGGUGAAGUCGUAACAAGGUAACCGUAGGUGAACCUGCGGUUGGAUCACCU